CAACUGCUUACAAAUAAUGCAAACAUUUGGAUGCCUAAUUGUGUUUUUAUCAUUCACUUUUUUUUCCAGGUGACAGUUGGAUGACAUGACCAUAUUUUAAGGAAUAUAAGAUGGAUGAGGAAUGGCAAGCUCUCAGUAUAAGAACAUCUUGUACAAGACUGCCAGUGGUGAUCAAAACAAGCAGAGGCAAAGCACGGCGGUCUCAUCAACACAAUUCAGCUGCGCAAACAACAAAAUGGAUAUUUCAGUGACAAUUGGAGGCUUUUGGAGACCAUUAGAUGAAGUCAUGCCACAUGUAAGAUCAAACAGUCCAGACUCUAUCACAAAUUGUACAUGGUAGCAUUGAAGCUGUUUCUCUGUAGGCAACAUUUCUAUCUUCACUUUAUAAGGUAAUGAUGGGAGAUUUGACCUGUGAAUCAGUUAUUUUGAACAGUUCGUUUGAAUUAUCUGCUUUGAAAAUGAUUCAACACUUCUUUCAAGUUGAUUUCAUCACAUGACAUCCUGGCAUUGCAUAUUAAAUGC
rnacentral:lncRNA from 1 species